GUCAUCAAUAUCUGGUGUGGUCAUGACUGUGCAUAUUUCACCUUGGAGGUGAAAUCUUUGUCUACCAAAUGUUCAUUUUCAGUAAUUUUCUUUGGUUGUUAAAGGGCGAGCACAGCGCUGGAAGGAAAGUUGUUUUUGAGUUUUGUGACACUGUGAAAGCCACUUAAAAACUCUGGAUGUCACUUCACUAGAAAAUAAAAGUGUUGAUCACCAGUGCCAUUGUCAACAUUAAUAUUCUACGAUUCCACCAAGCCACAGUGGCCCUAGUAAAAAUUAUUUAAUGUAGGAUUGGGAAAACACUGGGAAUGCAUAAUAAAUUCUCAGUAUUCCUACACAUAAUAAAGGGCCUUCUUUUACUUUAUUUUGAAAAUAGCAAGCCAAGGAAUGAAGGGAUAAGUGACAUUUUAAAGGUUAGCAGACUAUGAUUAUUGGAAUCCUGUUUAAUUACAUAGUUACAGUUCAUCACAUGAUAAUAAAAAUAUAAUGAAAUCAUAUAAUAUCAUAGUGCUAACAAUAUUAAAUAACUCAUGGGUAAAAACCAUCUAUUUAGAUGUUCAAAAUCUCAGUCAUGCAAAGUUGUGGUGUAAAGUAGUAUUUUUGAACUUUUUUUUCAGUAAUGGAGGAUUACUUAAAGUACUAUAAAUUACCCUCCUUGUAGCCAUAUCAGUUGUGAAUUUCUUAGAAUUAUGAGUCAGACAUUACUAGCAAUUGGUUAGGUGUAUCUAUUAAGGAUUGAGAUACAGAAACUAUGAAUUCAGAAGAAAGUAAUUCUUAUAUUAUGUAUUUCACAUGUUCUUUCCAAGGGGAAAAAUCACACAGACAGAUUUAAAAAUAAUUUAAUUUCCUAAUUUUAUUAUUGCCUCAUUUUUAUAAUAGUUUCUGUUCUGCCAGAAAUUCACAUUUAGGUUCCAGGGACAGCUAUUCCUUUGCAUUCCGUUCCAAAGGUGGUCUAACUAGUAUUUAAGACAGACGUCCCCAAACUACUGUAUUUCUGGAAUAGAUUGUAAUGAAAAAUAAAGUAUGUCAAAUCAUAUAAUUUUCAAUAGAAGCAAAUUUGUAACGGAUAUUUUAUUUCCUAACAAGGGCCUAGCAUCCAAAGUUAUUUUUAUCAAAAUAAUCAUAAGCGUUAUAUCUAAUCAAUGACAAAUAACAUCCCUUCACAAUAGAAGACUUCACAAAGUGUAUAUAAAUUAAUUUAAAAGAACUUAUAGAAAGCAAACAUAUAACACAUAAUAUAUUUUGAAGAUUCCAUAAGAAUGAGGAUUUUGAAAGUAGGCUAAUUCUGGGUGGACUGAGGAAAAAGAUAACAAAUGCAGCACAUACAGAGUAGGUCAAAAGUAAAAAAAAGAGCGUGUGUGUGUGUGUGUGUGUGUGUUAGGGUUUGUGCAGAGAAGAUACUAGGGGCCUCUGAAGGUUCUGGGAGUUCUGUCAUCUGCCAUAAAGUUGACACUGGCCUUUAUGCUCAUUUAUUGUCAGGGAGUAGACGGAUUCAUUGUUGUAAUUUAUAUUCUGCCUGCUUUACCAAAGUAAUAUAGACUGCUUUAUAACUGGGAGGAAUCUCUAUUCUCUAUUUUAGGUCUUCCCAAAAUUUAGAGCUUCCUUUCCCCCACUAAACCCACUGAUACAUACAUACAUAUAUAUAUAUAUAAGAAUAAGCAUUGUUCUUUGAAUUAUACAAUAGAUAUGUAAAUCUGAAUUUGAUUAGUCACAUGAUUUCAUAUUGACCUAUACCAUGCUAAUUUUUGAUACAUACAUAAUAUCAAGAUGCUACUGCCAUUUUAUUCUUCAUUUUCCCUGCCUUUCAGCACAUCUGUCAAAUAGUUAAUAAUAUUAAAACAACAUAGAAACCUUCUCACAUU